GAGGGUAUAGCUCAGUGGCAGAGUGCAUGCUUAGCAUGCACGAGGCCCUGGGUUCAAUCCUCAGUACCUCCA
rnacentral:tRNA from 1 species